GGUGGGUUGGCUUGUCAGGUUGAUUCCGGUAACGAACGAGACCUCAGCCUGCUAAAUAGUAGCUCUCGGCUCCGCCGGGAGGCAGACUUCUUAGAGGGACUAUUAGCGACUAUCAGCUAAUUGAAGUAUGAGGCAAUAACAGGUCUGUGAUGCCCUUAGAUGUUCUGGGCCGCACGCGCGCUACACUGACGCAAUCAACGAGCCUCCUGGCCUCGAGAGGGUCGGGUAAUCUUGUAAACUGCGUCGUGAUGGGGCUAGAGCUUUGUAAUUAUUGCUCUUUAACGAGGAAUGCCUAGUAAGCGCGAGUCAUCAGCUCGCGUUGAUUACGUCCCUGCCCUUUGUACACACCGCCCGUCGCUCCUUCCGAUUGGGUGUGCUGGUGAAGAGUUCGGACUGGACCUGGCUGGCAACAGCCCCGGUUCGGGAAGUCCUU
rnacentral:rRNA from 1 species